GGGGCGAACGGUAGGUCAGCAUGCCCCGAAUUAUCCCGGGCUACACGCGGGCUACAAUGGUCAGGACAAUGGGUAUCGACACCGAGAGGUGGAGGCCAAUCUCCUAAACCCAUCCGUAGUUCGGAUUGUGGGCUGCAACUCGCCCACAUGAAGCUGGAAUCUGUAGUAAUCGUGUCUCAAAAUGGCACGGUGAAUAUGUCCCUGCUCCCUU
rnacentral:rRNA from 1 species